UUCGAUUAGAGUUUGAUCAUGGCUCAGAUUGAACGCUGGGGGCAGGCUUAACACACGCAAGUCGAGCGGGGAAGAGUAGCUUGCUACUUGACCUAGCGGCGGACGGGUGAGUAAUGCUUAGGAAUCUGCCUAUUAGUGGGGGACAACAUCUCGAAAGGGAUGCUAAUACCGCAUACGUCCUACGGGAGAAAGCAGGGGACCUUCGGGCCUUGCGCUAAUAGAUGAGCCUAAGUCGGAUUAGCUAGUUGGUGGGGUAAAGGCCUACUAAGGCGACGAUCUGUAGCGGGUCUGAGAGGAUGAUCAGUCACACUGGAACUGAGACACGGUCCAGACUCCUACGGGAGGCAGCAGUGGGGAAUAUUGGACAAUGGGCGAAAGCCUGAUCCAGCCAUGCCGCGUGUGUGAAGAAGGUCUUCGGAUUGUAAAGCACUUUAAGUUGGGAGGAAGGGCAUUAACCUAAUACGUUAGUGUUUUGACGUUACCGACAGAAUAAGCACCGGCUAACUCUGUGCCAGCAGCCGCGGUAAUACGAAUCACUAGUGAAUUCGCGGCCGCCUGCAGGUCGACCAUAUGGGAGAGCUCCCAACG
rnacentral:rRNA from 1 species